UAUUGUAUGUAAAUGAUUUCAGGCCUGAUCU
rnacentral:piRNA from 1 species